CCAGUGGACCCUUUCACUAAUACAAUCAUUCAUCGCUCCUGUUCAGGGAAGAAAGGAAGGCUGAAGCCGGAGACUCCAAAAAGCUGGACCAGAUUUUUACAAUUUCCCUUUAUCAUGAAGUGCCCACAGAUUAUAAUUCCCUGAGGGUAGGACCCAGCGUCCCAGUUCCUGGGUACCAAGAUGGAGCUGAGGGAAGAUUCAGCUCUCCCUGGCAGCUUCAUUGGCCUGGAGGAAAGCUUCGGGCAGCGACUUCGAUAUUCACUGAAAUGUUCCAGAUAUACAGCCAUUGACGGGAGACUGUGAAAGCCACCAUUUCUCAUCCAAGUAGUUAAGGUAUUAAGCGGUGGUGAUGAGGAGGGUGAGGAGGGCAAUUGAUGGGAGGGUGGCUAAAUAAGUGAUGGCAUAGCCGUGAAGGAAUAUUAUGCAUCCAUUAAAAAUACAUAUGCAAAGAAUAUUUAAUGGCCUGGAAGAUGCUCACAGUUUAAGAGUAAGUUAAAAAAAAAAAAGAGAACUUAGAACUGCAUAUUCAGGACAAGCCACGUGUGUGGAAAGAGAACUAGGAAGAAAUGUGUCAAAAGUUUCCUUCCUUAUGCAUGUAUGGAUUUUCCAUCUUCCCUGCAAUUUAGCUUUAUUCCAUGUAGUUUAAAAUCUUUCUUGAUGUUAAAACCUUUUUCAAGUACAAAAUAAAACAUUCUCUGUGUAGAAAUAAAUUCAAAUUAUAUUAUAAAUGAAAGCUGUUUUCUGCCAUAGCUUUUGCUAAUCAUUUGGUAUAUAGUCUAUAGAAUUUGUAUGUGGUGUGUAUAUAUAGAUAAUAUUUAUAUUGUUGCUGUUGUUUAGAUACUAAGUUGUGUCCUACUCCUUUUGGCUCCGUGGACUGUAGCCUGCCAGGUUUCCCUGUCCAUGGGAUUUCCCAGGCAGGAAUACUGGGGUGGACAGCCAUUUCCUUCUCCAGGAAGGAUCUCUCCCGACCCAGAAAUCAAACCUGCAUCUCCUCCAUUAGCUGGUGGAUAUUUUACCAC
rnacentral:lncRNA from 1 species